GCCGGCCYGCCGGCCUUCCCGCCGC
rnacentral:misc_RNA from 1 species